CUGAAGGUAACAGGUGCUCGCUUCAGCAGUUAUAUAAUUGGAACAAUACAAACAAGAUUAGCAUAGCCGCUGUGCAAGGAUGGCACACAAAAUUGUGGAGCAUUCUAUAUUUUA
ensembl:snRNA U6 U6 spliceosomal RNA